rnacentral:rRNA from 1 species
CAGUAGCCGCGGUAAUGCGUAGGGUGCAAGCGUUAAUCGGAAUUACUGGGCGUAAAGCGUGCGCAGGCGGUUUGUUAAGACAGAUGUGAAAUCCCCGGGCUCAACCUGGGAACUGCAUUUGUGACUGGCGAGCUAGAGUGUGGCAGAGGGGGGUGGAAUUCCGCGUGUAGCAGUGAAAUGCGUAGAUAUGCGGAGGAACACCGAUGGCGAAGGCAGCCCCCUGGGCCAACACUGACGCUCAUGCACGAAAGCGUGGGGAGCAAACAGGAUUAGAUACCCGUGUAGUCCCUGUCUCUUAUAC